rnacentral:rRNA from 1 species
GACGAACGCUGGCGGCGUGCCUAAUACAUGCAAGUAGAACGCACAGUUUAUACCGUAGCUUGCUACACCAUAGACUGUGAGUUGCGAACGGGUGAGUAACGCGUAGGUAACCUGCCUGGUAGCGGGGGAUAACUAUUGGAAACGAUAGCUAAUACCGCAUAAUAUUAAUUAUUGCAUGAUAAUUAAUUGAAAGGUGCAAUUGCACCACUACCAGAUGGACCUGCGUUGUAUUAGAUAGUAGGUGAGGUAACGGCUCACCUAGGCGACGAUACAUAGCCGACCUGGGAGGGUGAUCGGCCACACUGGGACUGAGACACGGCCCAGACUCCUACGGGGGGCAGCAGUAGGGAAUCUUCGGCAAUGGACGAAAGUCUGACCGAGCAACGCCGCGUGAGUGAAGAAGGUUUUCGGAUCGUAAAGCUCUGUUGUAAGAGAAGAACGGGUGUGAGAGUGGAAAGUUCACACUGUGACGGUAUCUUACCAGAAAGGGACGGCUAACUACGUG